GCUCUUCAACCCAAAUAUCUCUUGCAGAUAUCAGUAAUAAAUGGAACUCGAUCCACGCUCAACCAUAAUCUCAUCUCCAAUAUUAUAUAGUUGGCUCUAAUAUCACAUAUUCAUUAUAUAUAGAGCCCUAUAUCCAAGUAUCCAACGAGAGACCCUAAUCUUAUAAACCAUGAAAUCCCAUUCCCCCAUCUUCUGUUUGAUACUCUCUGCUCUCAUAAGCCUGUCAACAACUAUUCUAACCGCUCAAGAAAAUCCUGUUUCCUUCUACAUUGCUUAUCAGUGGCCAGGCUCAUACUGUGCAGCAGCAAAGCAGGGUUGUUGCUACCCAAAGAGUAUUAGAAAACAUCCCAGUUUCACUAUUGGUGGCAUAUGGCCUUACACUUUUUCUGGGGAUAGACCAACCUACUGCAAAUCUAAGACCCCUUUUAGUUUAUCUAAGAUAUCAAACCUGACCAAGAGUUUGGAAAGGAAUUGGCCGGCCAUCACUAUCCUGCCCAAGCCGUACUAGUAGCAUUAGCAGUAAGAAACUAUGGAUGCAAGAAUGGCAGAAAUAUGGGACUUGUGCAGAAUCACUCUUUGGAGGUCAAUACCAAUACUUUCAUGCAGGUCUCAAUCUCAGGAAGAAAAUAGACAUGCUCCAGAUACUCAGCAAUGCAGGAAUCCAUCCAAAUGGGUCAUUUUAUGAGAUGACUGCAGUUUUCAAUGCCAUACAAAAGGCCACCAUCCAUCUUCCGGGGUUUAUCUGUAACAAAGACAAAUCAGGCAACAAACAGCUCUGUGGAAACACCGCCGGAACCAGAAUCAUAGACUGCCUCGGCAACCCAAGAUCGAAUACCGGACAAUGCCCCGAAAACUUUAAGUUCCCUCCCUUGAAAUGAGAGUCUGUUGUUGUUUCUUGUUUUACAAUUUCGUUGAGCAUUCACAGUCGGUGGACUGAAUAAGUUUUGCUCAACCUUUACAAUUCUACUUGUGAUAUCAGGACUCUAACGUGGUGUAAGUAUUGAAUGCAAUAAAAAUUAAUAAGAGGGGAGGUGCCACCGUUCUA